GGUUUGAUCAUGGCUCAGAUUGAACGCUGGCGGGAUGCUUUACAUGCAAGUCGAACGGCAGCACGGACUUCGGUCUGGUGGCGAGUGGCGAACGGGUGAGUAAUGUAUCGGAACGUGCCUAGUAGCGGGGGAUAACUACGCGAAAGCGUAGCUAAUACCGCAUACGCCCUUCUCGCAGGGAAGCUGGGGAACUCUGGGCCUCGCACUAUUAGAGCGGCCGAUAUCGGAUUAGCUGGUUGUUGGGAUAACGGCUCACCAAGGCGACGAUCCGUAGCUGGUUUGAGAGGACGACCAGCCACACUGGGACUGAGACCUGGCCCAGACUCCUACACGGGAGGCAGCAGUGAAAUUUUUGGACAAUGGAAACCCUGAUCCAGCCAUCCCGCGUGUGCGAUGAAGGCCUUCGGGUUGUAAAAAAGCACUUUUGGCAGGAAAGAAACGGCACGGGAUAAUACCCCGUGCAACUGACCGGUACCUGCAGAAUAAGCACCGGCUAACUACGUGCAGCAGCCGCGGUAAUACGUAGGGUGCAGAAACGUUAAUCGGAAUUACUGGGCGUAAAGCGUGCGCAGGCGGUUCGGAAAGAAAGAUGUGAAAUCCCAGAGCAACUUUGGAACUGCAUUUUUAACUACCGAGCUAGAGUGUGUCAGAGGAGGUGGAAUCACAUUAGCAGUGAAAUGCGUAGAUAUGCGGAGGAACACCGAUGGCGAAGGCAGCCUCCUGGGAUAACACUGACGCUCAUGCACGAAAGCGUGGGGAGCAAACAGGAUUAGAUACCCUGGUAGUCCACGCGCCAGCUUGAUGUCAACUAGCUAUUUAGGGCCUUCGGGCCUUGGUAGCGCAACUAACGCGUGAAGUUGACCGCCUGGGGAAAUCACGGUCGCGAGAUUAAAACUCAAAAUUGACGGGGACCCGCACAAGCGGUGGAUGAUGUGGAUAAUUCGAUGCAACGCGAAAAACCUUACCUACCCUUGACAUGUCUGGAAUCCCGAAGAGAUUUGGGAGUGCUCGCAAGAGAACCAGACACAGGUGCUGCAUGGCUGUCGUCAGCUCGUGUCGUGAGAUGUUGGGUUAAGUCCCGCAACGAGCGCAACCCUUGUCAUUAGUUGCUACGAAAGACGCCUAAUGAGAUUCUGCCUGACGACAAACCGGAGAAGGUGGGGAUGGCGUCAAGUCCUCAUGGCCCUUAUGGGUAGGGCUUCACACGUCAUACAAUGGUCGGGACAGAGGGUCGCCAACCCGCGAGAGGGAGCCCAAUCCCGAAACCCGAUCGUAGUCCGGAUCACCGGUCACAACUCGACUGCGUGAAGUCGGGAGCUCUCGUAUCGCGGAUCAGCAUGUCGCGGUGAAUACGUUCGGGUCUUGUACACACCGCCCGUCACACCAUGGGAGUGGGUUUACCAGAAGUAGUUGGCUAUAUGUAAGGAGGGCGAUUACCGGUAGGAUUCAUGACUGGGGUGAAGUCGUAACAAGGUAA
rnacentral:rRNA from 1 species